rnacentral:rRNA from 1 species
CCUACGGGAGGCAGCAGUGGGGGAUAUUGCACAAUGGGGGAAACCCUGAUGCAGCGACGCCGCGUGCGUGAAGAAGUAUUUCGGUAUGUUAAGCUCUAUCAGCAGGGAAGAAAAUGACAGUACCUGACCAAGAAGCCCCGGCUAACUACGUGCCAGCAGCCGCGGUACUACGUAGGGGGCAAGCGUUAUCCGGAUUUACUGGGUGUAAAGGGAGCGUAGACGGUUAUGUAAGUCUGGAGUGAAAGCCCGGGGCCCAACCCCGGGACUGCUUUGGAAACUGUGUAGCUGGAGUACAGGAGGGGCAGGCGGAAUUCCUGGUGUAGCGGUGAAAUGCGUAGAUAUCAGGAGGAACACCGGCGGCGAAGGCGGCCUGCUGGACUGAAACUGACGUUGAGGCUCGAAAGCGUGGGGAGCAAACAGGAUUAGAUACCCGUGUAGUC